UACGUAGGGUGCGAGCGUUAAUCGGAAUUACUGGGCGUAAAGCGUGCGCAGGCGGUUUUGUAAGCCAGAUGUGAAAUCCCCGGGCUUAACCUGGGAAUGGCAUUUGGGACUGCAAGGCUCGAGUGCGGCAGAGGAGACUGGAAUUCCUGGUGUAGCAGUGAAAUGCGUAGAUAUCAGGAGGAACACCGAUGGCGAAGGCAGGUCUCUGGGCUGACACUGACGCUCAUGCACAAAAGCGUGGGGAGCAAACAGG
rnacentral:rRNA from 1 species